AUUCUUGAAGUGGUGGUUCAAGCACAGACUGAGAGGUAAUAAUAAUGGCUAACAUUUUUGGGGCACCAAAAAUGCCCAGAGCUGUUCUCAGCGCCUUAGAGAACUUUUAAGAAACUUGCCAUACGACUAGGAAGUGGAGCAGCUGCGGUUUCACGCAGGUCAUUUGACUUAGGAGCCGCAGCGUUCAACCACGUCUGACUACCUCCAUUCUUCAGUGGCCCAUUUUCUCUUCCACUCAUCCGAGCAUGUCAUCAGACAUUACCUUAUAUGAUUAUUAAGUUUUUAAUAUAUCUUUGUAUCAUCUCUCCAGGAUUAUUGCGGAUGUCUUGAGCAUGGGACCAUUCUUUUUGCAUCCACCAAAUAACUAUUGUACUACUUUGCAUAUAUAAAUAUGAAAUCCAUACUGGUUCAGUGGAAUGAAGUGAGUUGACAUCUUCUAUUACAAAAUCUACGAGGAAAUCUAGAGGCCUCCAAGGACCUGGCUGGGCUUCAACUCUGGCUGAGUUUGAGAUGAGUAAACCAGACUGAAGGACCUUGCCCAAGGCCUGCUUCAGCUGCCAGCCACCCACACUUGCUAAGAGAAAGGAAAGGAGCUUUGUCACCUCCUGAGGGACUGCCUCUGCCAUCAGAAAACCACCCCAAUCCCUGGCACCAGCAGAGCUGGGUUGCAUCUGACUACCGUUAGCAGCUGUCCUUCAGAAGGAGGAGAUCCACCUGUCUCGAUAUCAGUGUCCUCAUUUGUGGAAUAAAAGCUCUGGAAUAAGGUAGGACUGUCCUAUGGUUGGGUCAUUUGUGGAGGUGUCGGUCAGUGGCUAAGUAGGUUAUUGCAUAGGGUAUGGUUGUAUUCCUAAUGUUUGUAUUGGCAUGUUUUAACAUAAGCAGAACUGAACUUCAAGAAGGAAAGAAAGAAAUCUCAAACUGUAUGCACUUUGGAGCAUCCAGGGACCACACCCCAAAACCUUUUGGUAAAUUAUAUAUGUGUGUUCCCUGAGCUCUGUAGGUGUUAAAAAUUAGGGCAAAAUCCCAGGUACCAGGAAAAGAAACAUCACGGCUUGCAGAUG
rnacentral:lncRNA from 10 species